rnacentral:rRNA from 1 species
UACGGAGGGAGCUAGCGUUGUUCGGAAUUACUGGGCGUAAAGCGCACGUAGGCGGCAUAGUAAGUCAGGGGUGAAAUCCCGGGGCUCAACCCCGGAACUGCCCUUGAAACUGCUAAGCUAGAAUCUUGGAGAGGCGAGUGGAAUUCCGAGUGUAGAGGUGAAAUUCGUAGAUAUUCGGAAGAACACCAGUGGCGAAGGCGACUCGCUGGACAAGUAUUGACGCUGAGGUGCGAAAGCGUGGGGAGCAAACAGG